GACGAACGCUGGCGGCGUGCUUAACACAUGCAAGUCGAACGAAGAGCGACGGAAGCUUGCUUCUAUCAAUCUUAGUGGCGAACGGGUGAGUAACGCGUAAUCAACCUGCCCUUCAGAGGGGGACAACAGUUGGAAACGACUGCUAAUACCGCAUACGAUCUAAUCUCGGCAUCGAGGAUAGAUGAAAGGUGGCCUCUACAUGUAAGCUAUCACUGAAGGAGGGGAUUGCGUCUGAUUAGCUAGUUGGAGGGGUAACGGCCCACCAAGGCGAUGAUCAGUAGCCGGUCUGAGAGGAUGAACGGCCAC
rnacentral:rRNA from 1 species